GAGUUUGAUCGUGGCUCAGGAUGAACGCUAGCGGCAGGCCUAAUACAUGCAAGUCGAGGGGCAGCGGGUGUAGCAAUACAUGCCGGCGACCGGCGCACGGGUGCGUAACACGUAUGUAAUCUACCUUUUACUGGAGAAUAGCCCGAAGAAAUUCGGAUUAAUACUCCAUAAUAUCAUUGGGGGGCAUCUCUUGAUGAUUAAAGUUCCGACGGUAAAAGAUGAGCAUGCGCGAUAUUAGCUAGUUGGUGAGGUAACGGCUCACCAAGGCGACGAUAUCUAGGGGUACUGAGAGGUUACACCCCCACACUGGUACUGAGACACGGACCAGACUCCUACGGGAGGCAGCAGUAAGGAAUAUUGGACAAUGGUCGCAAGACUGAUCCAGCCAUGCCGCGUGCAGGAUGACUGCCCUAUGGGUUGUAAACUGCUUUUGUACGGGAAUAAACCCGGGGUACGUGUACCCCGGCUGAAUGUACCGUAAGAAUAAGGGUCGGCUAAC
rnacentral:rRNA from 1 species